AAUCGAAUUGAGAGAUCGAGAGAGAAAGGAAAACGCGAGAGAUGGAAGGGGGAAACAGACGAUGCAUGUGAGUGGCGAGAAAGAGAGAACGACGAUCGAUGGGGAUGGGGUCUUUGGUGAUAAUUUUUCAUUUUAAUACGUUAUUGUAUACAGGAUUGAAACGCUGUAUAAAACCAUUCAGGAUCUCCCUGUUCAUCUACCAAUCAAUUAAUUAUUUCACAACUCAGAUGGCUUUCCAUAGUCAUGCAUUACAAAGGUAGCGUUACGUUGCCAAGCAUCAAGGACACACCGUACAGGCUUCCGAUACGAAUUAACAUCCUUUAUUGAGGUCUUGUUGAUCCAAGAAUGUACAAGUCGGUAAAACAAGAGCGUUUGUUGAAUGCUGUAGAGGUUGGAGAUCUUCAAGAGAUCACCAUCUCUCUUGAUCUGGGUGCAGGGAUCAAUGAUGUACCAUGGGGAACAGAGUCCUUAUUGAUGAGAGCAAUACGAUGUGGGCACAAGGAGGUGGCCAAAUUUCUCAUCAGAAAGGGCAUUGAUGUAAAUUAUAUUUAUGUGAAAUCAGACUCUCCCAGAAGUGAGACAAAGAACUACAGACAAGAGACUGCGAGAGAGUACGCAGAGUUCUUCAAAAUGCCUGAGAUUAUUGAGCUGAUUGACGCGCGGCGGAUAAUACUUCAGGCAACUCUGUGAUGAAGACAUUUGUUUUAUUCCAAACUCAGUUUUGGGGACAUAUGUGACCAAUUCGUGGAGUGUAAGGAAAGAACAUUGGGUGCGUUCACUUGAUUUCUACUGAAUCUUCUUAAAGGUGUAGCUGUAAUUCAUAUUCCUUGUGUGGUCUUGACUGUCUUGGCUCUAUUCACACUUCAAUUAUUCUCGUGAAAGAAAGCAAACUUGAAGAUCACAAUUGUUUCAGACAAUAUAUUAAUCAGUUAGGCCUUAAUUGUUCUUGUUUACGUAUGUUGUGGUCUAGUGGAUAAGUCUCUGGAAUGUGACAAGGUACAUGGUUCAAAUCCCUUUCACAGCAAGACAUUCUGCAUUUGCCACACUCAACCAGGUGAGCUAAAUGAGUACCUGGUAGGAUUAUUCCUUGAAAUGCACUAUGCAUAGAUAACAGGGAAAUAAUCUCCAAAGCUUACAGGGAUGUGAAAUGGGCUAUACGAGAAUAGAAUUUUUUUUUUCAUUAUUAAACCAUGUCAAGCACUAGCAAAAGAGAAGCUAUUUAACGUGCACUGAAUUGCAAGUGGGAGUUUAUUAAAAUAACUGCGAGUGACAGAGGCCUACAUACCCUAGGAUAUUAAGAUUUUAAGUACAGAUUUGUGACAUGCACUUUGUUCAUAUUACAUUUUGCUACACGUUUUUAGGCACUUUAUCAUUUCAUGUAUGAACAAAGCUUUAAGAGAUAUCAACAAAUAAUAUGUGCACAAAUAUAUACAGGAGGAAAUGUGCAAUUAUUAUGUAAUUAGCAAACCAGCAAAAUCAGUGAGUUUGGGGGACAAAAGUUUUCUUAAAGAUCAUUUAUCCAUAAUGUACAAUAUGUGUAGUCACAUAACAUAUGCACCCAAAAUUUGCAUCAUGAUCAGCAUUUUAAAAGUACUUCCUGAUAAUUUCUCAUGAAACGAAAUUCUAUUUUUGUAACUCAGUAUUUUCUUGUAAUAGAGUAUCUAGAGAUCAUAUUUCAUGUUCUUCUUUUUGUCAUGCCCUUAACAUGUAUCUACGCAUCAGUAUUUUAGAAGACAGAAUGUAUAUAUUCAAAGAUGUUUAAAAAGACGAGAGCAGAUCUUAAUAUUGAAAAAAUAUUACCAUUAACUCAUUAGAAAUACCAUAUCAUAAAAACAAUCUAAUAUUUUCAAAUUUCUCUCUCUAUUUAUAUUUGUAUUACAUCUCUUUAUAAUGUAUAAAAUGUUUAUGAUUUCAGAAAAAAAUAUUAAGUGAGUCCUUUUCGACUAAUACAUGUUGUUUGGAAUGGAUGACAACAAUAAGUCUACCCCAUUGUAUAAUUAAAGCAAUGUUCUCUCAAUUUCUUGUUAACAUGCUUUAAAAAGUGAUGAGAUAUGAAUCGCAACUCAAAAUUUUCAGCACAAACAUUUAAAGGAAUAUUUUUCAAUGACGAAUAGAAGCCCACCCCUCAGUCAAAUGACAUUCAGUUGUGCUUCCACCCCCCCUUCCCACACAGAAACAAAGUGAAAUGCCAUCAUAAAAAUUUUACUUGUGUUGUAGAUAUAAGUGCUUACUCUCUCAUGUUAUUUUGACACAAUAAGUAUAACUGUGAGCUGAAUCAUUGCGCAAAAUUUAAUUAUAUGUGAUAUAUGAUUGAUGAUUAUUUUACAUAUUUUGUACUUUGUGUGUAAGUAAAAAGUACCAGAUUUUGUUUUCUGUUAAGGAAUUAAUUUACAUCAAGAUAUUUAUCCAGCAGCAAAAGAAAUCAUUACUUUUGAGUCUUCUUUAAAGCAGUCUGUAAAAGCCCUUGAUGAGUAGCCUUUUCUUGAAGAGAAGUAUCUGAUUGGGAGAGUUAAUUGAUUAAAACAAAUUAUGAUUACAUAA